rnacentral:lncRNA from 1 species
AAACGGAUGCUCCGGAUGGGAACUCUAGCGGACAUGGGAGCCAUUGGAGACAGUUCGGGGGACUAGAUUCCAAACCUUCUGGCUGCCUCCUGGCUGCGUGCCUGCUAUGAACCAAACACAGUGCUUCUUGCGGUGCGGGGCAUGCGUGUGGAGGUCAGAGACAACUUGUGGGCGUUGGUUCUUUCCUUCUACCAUGAGGGUUCCAGGAAUCAAAACGACUUCAAGGAUCUCAAGUGACCAAGCCAUAUAUUGGUAAAAUAUAAAUAUUCUUAGACUCGGGCUUUGUUCUAAGGAGAGAACAGUAAUUCACCACAUGGUACAACUGGUGACAAUGAGACCGAGACGUUGUCAGCUGGUGUCCUGGCAUGGACGAGUACUGAGGUGCGUCCACUGAGUGACAGGAUGGCCCCGGCAGCCCGCGCAGAGCAUCUGAGCCCGUGUGGCAGGUGAGGCGGGCGGCCAGUCAGAGCACACGGGGGAUGACAGUGAAGGGUACAGCAGGGCUGCUGGCCUCCAGUUCCAAGGCUGUCAGGAAGCACUCGGUGGCUGCUGCGUCGUUACCCUGAGCUUGGAGGACCUCGCCCAGCCCGUUCCAGACCUCGUGGGCUGUCGAAUUCACCUGCACUGCAUCCCGGAGAAUCUUCUCAGCUAGACUGUAGCGGCCCAGCUGGUGAAGGACCAGAGCCUGCGGAGACAGACAGUCAGACACUCAAGGAGGGCCAGGUACCUACGUGACCUGGGCUCUGAGCAGAGACCCAAGAGGCAGGAAUGUACCUCCUACUCUUGGCACACAUGUUCUUGCCAACUCCUGAGCUUAGGAGCAGCAGCUGAAGACACUGACCACACGAAACUGCUGAAAUUCAUCUUUCAACUACAAGCAGGGCAGUUGUAGACUGAUGUGUGGCUCACUGCGUUCAGGGGGCUAUAGAAGUAGUAAGUGUGAGGUGGUCACCCUGGGCUGCGGUAAGACCCUGCCUCAAAAACAAAGCAAGUGACACUGCCACCCAAAUCAGAAUAACAACUACACCAACCCCAAAUCAGAAACCAAAUGAAAGGCAGUUUUAUAUGACUUAUCUGAAAAUGUCUCAAGAAUCAACAAACUGGAAAGGUCCACAAUGACUCAGUGUGGCUGACCUGUCGUGUCCUAGCCGGCACCAGCCUGUAUGGGAGGGCAUCUACCACCUGUGGCAUCACUGGAUAUGACAUUAAAAAAAAAAAAUCC